AAAUUGAAGAGUUUGAUCAUGGCUCAGAUUGAACGCUGGCGGCAGGCCUAACACAUGCAAGUCGAACGGUAACAGGAAACAGCUUGCUGUUUCGCUGACGAGUGGCGGACGGGUGAGUAAUGUCUGGGAAACUGCCUGAUGGAGGGGGAUAACUACUGGAAACGGUAGCUAAUACCGCAUAACGUCGCAAGACCAAAGAGGGGGACCUUCGGGCCUCUUGCC
rnacentral:rRNA from 1 species